UCUGUUAUGCGCGAGUUUCCAAUGAAUGCCAGUACAUGCAAAUAACCGAACCGAACACCAGUCGUCGUCCCCAUUUUCCCCAUGAUUUCUCUCUCUCUCUCUCUGGGUGUGUAUACAUACUGUAUUGCACUGAAUCGUCGUUCACAAACGGGUGUCAAUCCUCUCCAAACUAAUUGUGGCCUCACAUUUUCGGGUAUGCAAAAUCUCAAUUUUCGUCCGGAUUGUGUACAAUUCAAAUGAGGCUAUCGAUUUCAUCACUUUAUGCUACCUAAUUAAUUCAGGGAGAGUCGUUUUGCUAGCUGGGAUUCUAACUAUUAUUGUGGUCAUUUCCUUGACACUAUACGUGUUCUGGGCCGCCAAAAAUGGCUGCGACUUCCAUGUCCUGGGGCCGUUUCUCUUCACCUCCCUCUUGGUGCUCAUUGCUUUUGCUCUGAUUCAGGUUUGUGGAACUGUCUUUUCCUUAUUCCAGGGGAACUCUAUAGUUUUCCACCAUACCAUGAAUGUGUACGUGACAAGAAAAUGAGAACAUUGGAU